CGUGAAAAAAAAAAAAAAAAAAAAAAAAAAAAAAAAAAAAAA
rnacentral:ribozyme from 13 species